AUACUUACCUGGCAGGGGAGAUACCAUGAUCAUGAAGGUGGUUCUCCCAGGGCGAGGCUCAGCCAUUGCACUCCGGUUGUGCUGACCCCUGCGAUUUCCCCAAAUGCGGGAAACUCGACUGCAUAAUUUCUGGUAGUGGGGGACUGCGUUCGCGCUUUCCCCUG
rnacentral:snRNA from 12 species